AAAGAGAAGCGACCUCGCGAGAGCAAGCGGACCUCAUAAAGUGCGUCGUAGUCCGGAUUGGAGUCUGCAACUCGACUCCAUGAAGUCGGAAUCGCUAGUAAUCGUGGAUCAGAAUGCCACGGUGAAUACGUUCCCGGGCCUUGUACACACCGCCCGUCACACCAUGGGAGUGGGUUGCAAAAGAAGUAGGUAGCUUAACCUUCGGGAGGGCGCUUACCACUUUGUGAUUCAUGACUGGGGUGAAGUCGUAACAAGGUAACCGUAGGGGAACCUGCGGUUGGA
rnacentral:rRNA from 2 species